rnacentral:lncRNA from 1 species
GUUAACGACACUUUCUUCAGGGAUAAAUUUCACACUACCAGUUUUAGCUACAAGAAAAACUGAAACAUCAACUAUCGGAAGAAAUGAUAACAAUACCGCCAGGAUCAGCUCACUGCAAUCUUUCUUAUCUCCUGGGCUGGAAAUAGCUGCAGCUCUUAUCUAGACUAACAUUCUGCUGAUAGCAACGAGGGUAGUCACUGACUGGGUACUGAGGACCUACUAACUCUAUGCACCAGGCUCCCUUACCUCAGCUGUGCAGCUCCUCUCAGCCACCCAAGCCUUCCCGACUCCAUCUGCACAUACUGUAUUGUCUACAAUACAGCGAGCAACUUUACAUGAAUGGUGGCAGACUAUACAUACUGCUCUGCAACUCACUUUUUUCUUUUAACAAAAUAACUCGAAGAGUUGUUUCAUUUUGGUAUGUCAUAAGCCCACCUCCUUUUUAUUAGAUGAAAAAUAUUUCAUUGUAUGAACACACUAUAAUGUAGUUUUUCAGCCCUGGAAGAAAACAUAUUUUAGUCACUCAAUCUUAGCAACGUAUAUGACCCCACGCAGGCACCGGUUGACGCUGUAAGGCAGUGAGAUUCUGCUACCCAGAAACCUCAGAGUUGCCGCUGGGAUCUGAGUGGAGGAUCACACAAAAUUUGUGGGUUAAAUUCUUUUUUCUGGUGUACAUAAGAAUAUGUGAGCACAAGUAUAAAAAGGCCAGACGUCAUCAUCAGGUGGCAGUGUGCUCGCUACUUCUGGUGGUGUGCUGACAUCCGACUGCCAGGCCAUCUCUGUCAAACCACUGAAGGAAGGCAUGGGAACCGGAAGUGAGAAGGCCUCUCAUGACGCCAUCUGGUGAGACCGGGACAGUGCAAGGACGGGAACCUGCGCGCGGCCUCAGUGCUGCUGAAGAAACCAAGGAAGGCUGUGUCAUCAAAGCCACCCACUCUCUUUCCGGCCAAAGGACAAUUGUCCACGUAGGAGGGACACACAACUGGUCUGAUGACUAAAUCAAAAGCUGAUCCAGAAGAGCCAGGGUUUUUAAGUGUGAGGUGUUAAUAAUGUCUUAACCAAUGCACUUUGUUUCUAUGAUCAACUUGUAUAGUUCCAUAAGAGACAAAUGAGAAGUAACACAUACGGUCAAGAGUUCUUCCAGUGAAAACACAGCAAAAAUUCCAAGUCCAGUACUGUACAUGUAUGAUACACACGGGCACAGCAUGCGUGAGUGAGUGUGUGCGUGUUGUGGGUUGGGGUUUUUGAAAUGAUCUGAUUAUGUGUAUGGGUGCUUUGUCUGCAAGAAUGUCUGUGCACCAUGUGCAUGGCUACUGUUGAUGGAGAACAGAAGAAGGCGUCAGAUCUCCUGGGACUGGAAUUACGGACAGUUGUGAGCUAUCAUGUAUGUGUGUGCUAGGAAUCAAAUCCAGGUCCUCUAACAGAACAGUCAGUUCUCUUAACCACUGAACUUCGUUCCAAACCCUCUUUGUCCGUCUGUCUAUCAGUGCGUCUUUCUGACCCACUGGCUGACUGACCGACCUACCUACCUACCUACCUGCCCACCAUGCAAGUCAAGUCUCAGUAUGUAGCCCCAGCUCUCCUGGAACUCACUCUAGACCACACUGGCCUCAAACCCAUAGAAAUCUGCCAGUUUGUACCUCACAAGUGUUGGGAUUAAAAGCACGUGCCACUAUGCCAGGCUUUGUAUAUUUUAAAC